UACGUAGGGGGCAAGCGUUGUCCGGAAUCAUUGGGCGUAAAGCGCGCGUAGGCGGCCCGGUAAGUCCGUUGUGAAAGUCAAAGGCUCAACCUUUGAACGCCGAUGGAUACUGCCGGGCUAGAGUCCGGAAGAGGCGAGUGGAAUUCCUGGUGUAGCGGUGGAAUGCGCAGAUAUCAGGAGGAACACCAAUAGCGAAGGCAGCUCGCUGGGACGGCACUGACGCUGAGGCGCGAAAGCGUGGGGAGCGAACAGG
rnacentral:rRNA from 1 species